rnacentral:rRNA from 1 species
GAGACCUCAGCCUGCUAAAUAGCUAUGUGGAGGUAACCCUCCACGGCCAGCUUCUUAGAGGGACUAUGGCCGCUUAGGCCACGGAAGUUUGAG